GGAGAGAUGGCUGAGUGGUCUAAAGCGCCUUCCUGCUAAGAAGGUGGACUUGUAAAAGGGUCUCGAGGGUUCAAAUCCCUCUCUCUCCG
rnacentral:tRNA from 1 species